rnacentral:lncRNA from 1 species
CCUGGAUUCAGCUACUGUUAACGGAAGAAACCAUGAAGCCUCAGAAGGUUAGAGCCAAAGGGACUCUACUGUGUAGCCCCAAUCACCUUCUUUUACAGUUAAGAGCCUGGAACCCAGAGAGGUUGAGUGACUUGGCCAAGACCCCCUGGAGGCAGAGGCGAGCAGAACCAAUGUUUCAGACUCCCACAUGACUUGCUCAUCAGUGUCUUUUUUUGACAAUCUGUUGCUAUAAGAAAUUACUCGUUUGGAUAAUUUUCACACUAGAAAACCCUGUGACCCAACGCUAGCAUUGAGAAGCUAAAGCUGGCCACUGACAUACUGUGAUUUUAAGGACAGGCUCUUUCGAAAUUAUCUGCCUUUCAAAAUCCUUGCCAUUGGAGACACUGGUUGGGGUUAUGUUAGUCUUCCUUAAGGAGGGCUCUACUAAAAUGCCAGACUAGGCCGGGCAUGGUAGCUCACGCCUGUAAUCCCAGCACUUUGGGAGGCCAAGGCUGGUCUUGAACUCCUGACCUCAGGUGAUCCACCUGCAUCAGCCUCCCAAAGUGCUGGGAUUACAGGCGUGAGCCCCUGGGCCCAGCCGCCCUGCACAUUUCUUAGAGA